rnacentral:rRNA from 1 species
GAGGAAUAUUGGUCAAUGGACGGAAGUCUGAACCAGCCAAGUAGCGUGCAGGAUGACGGCCCUAUGGGUUGUAAACUGCUUUUGUAUGGGGAUAAAGUUAGGGACGUGUCCCUAUUUGCAGGUACCAUACGAAUAAGGACCGGCUAAUUCCGUGCCAGCAGCCGCGGUAAUACGGAAGGUCCAGGCGUUAUCCGGAUUUAUUGGGUUUAAAGGGAGCGUAGGCUGGAGAUUAAGUGUGUUGUGAAAUGUAGACGCUCAACGUCUGAAUUGCAGCGCAUACUGGUUUCCUUGAGUACGCACAACGUUGGCGGAAUUCGUCGUGUAGAGGUGAAAUGCUUAGAUAUGACGAAGAACUCCGAUUGCGAAGGCAGCUGACGGGAGCGCAACUGACGCUUAAGCUCGAAGGUGCGGGUAUCAAACAGGAUUAGAUACCCUGGUAGUCCGCACAGUAAACGAUGGAUGCCCGCUGUUGGUACCUGGUAUCAGCGGCUAAGCGAAAGCAUUAAGCAUCCCACCUGGGGAGUACGCCGGCAACGGUG